GGCUCGUUGGUCUAGGGGUAUGAUUCUCGCUUUGGGUGCGAGAGGUCCCGGUUCGAAUCCCGGACGAGCCC
rnacentral:tRNA from 1 species